AAACUGCGAAUGGCUCAUUAAAUCAGUUAUCGUUUAUUUGAUAGUACCUUACUACAUGGAUAACCGUGGUAAUUCUAGAGCUAAUACAUGCUAAAAACCCCAACUUCGGGAGGGGUGUAUUUAUUAGAUAAAAAACCAACGCCCUUCGGGGCUUCUUGGUGAUUCAUGAUAACUUAACGGAUCGCAUGGCCUUGCGCCGGCGACGGUUCAUUCAAAUUUCUGCCCUAUCAACUAUCGAUGGUAAGGUAUUGGCUUACCAUGGUUUCAACGGGUAACGGGGAAUUAGGGUUCGAUUCCGGAGAGUGAGCCUGAGAAACGGCUAACACAUCCAAGGAAGGCAGCAGGCGCGCAAAUUAUCCAAUCCCGACACGGGGAGAUAGUGACAAUAAAUACUGAUACAGGGCUCUUUUGGGUCUUGUAAUUGGAAUGAGUACAAUUUAAACCUCUUAACGAGGAACAAUUGGAGGGCAAGUCUGGUGCCAGCAGCCGCGGUAAUUCCAGCUCCAAUAGCGUAUAUUAAAGUUGUUGCAGUUAAAAAGCUCGUAGUUGAAACUUGGGUCUGGCUGGCAGGUCCGCCUCACCGCGUGUACUUGUCCGGCUGGGCCUUCCUUCUGGAGAACCUCAUGCCCUUCACUGGGCGUGUUGGGGACCAGGACUUUUACUUUGAAAAAAUUAGAGUGUUCAAAGCAGGCCUUUGCUCGAAUACGUUAGCAUGGAAUAAUAAAAUAGGACGUGCGGUCCUAUUUUGUUGGUUUCUAGGACCGCCGUAAUGAUUAAUAGGGACAGUCGGGGGCAUCAGUAUUCAAUUGUCAGAGGUGAAAUUCUUGGAUUUAUUGAAGACUAACUACUGCGAAAGCAUUUGCCAAGGAUGUUUUCAUUAAUCAGUGAACGAAAGUUAGGGGAUCGAAGACGAUCAGAUACCGUCGUAGUCUUAACCGUAAACUAUGCCGACUAGGGAUCGGGCGAUGUUCUUUUUCUGACUCGCUCGGCACCUUACGAGAAAUCAA
rnacentral:rRNA from 1 species